rnacentral:rRNA from 1 species
GGAUCCAGACUUUGUCAUGGCUCAGGAUAAACGCUGGCGGCGCACAUAAGACAUGCAAGUCGAACGGAGGUCGGUGUAAUGAAAUAGAAACGGACAGAGAACUUGUUCGAAGAAAGUGGAAGUAGACUUACAACAAUGGCUUUAGUGGCGGACUGGUGAGUAACGCGUAAGGAACCUGCCUUCUAGAGGGGAAUAACAAUGAGAAAUCAUUGCUAAUACCGCAUAUGCCGAGAGAAUCACAUGGUACAAUCGGGAAAAGAGUAAUCUGCUAGAAGAUGGCCUUGCGUCUGAUUAGAUAGUUGGUGGGGUAACGGCCUACCAAGUCGACGAUCAGUAGCCGGACUGAGAGGUUGAACGGCCACAUUGGGACUGAGAUACGGCCCAGACUCCUACGGGAGGCAGCAGUCGGGAAUAUUGCGCAAUGGAGGAAACUCUGACGCAGUGACGCCGCGUAUAGGAAGAAGGUUUUCGGAUUGUAAACUAUUGUCGUUAGGGAAGAGAAAGGACAGUACCUAAGGAGGAAGCUCCGGCUAACUACGUGCCAGCAGCCGCGGUAAUACGUAGGGAGCGAGCGUUAUCCGGAAUUAUUGGGUGUAAAGGGUGCGUAGACGGGAAGAUAAGUUAGUUGUGAAAUCCCUCGGCUUAACUGAGGAACUGCAACUAAAACUGUUUUUCUUGAGUGCAGGAGAGGUAAGUGGAAUUCCUAGUGUAGCGGUGAAAUGCGUAGAUAUUAGGAGGAACACCAGUGGCGAAGGCGACUUACUGGACUGUAACUGACGUUGAGGCACGAAAGUGUGGGGGAGCAAACAGGAUUAGAUACCCUGGUAGUCCACACCGUAAACGAUGGAUACUAGGUGUAGGAGAUAUUAAGUC